rnacentral:lncRNA from 1 species
CUGAGUUUUUAUUGGCUGAAGUUAUUUUUUCAUGUCCUGCUGGAACAAAAUAUGGUCCUGGGAUUCUGGUAAGUAUAAACCACCUCAUUCAUCAGCAGGUGGCCCAGAACACCAGGGGAAGCUGUGCUGGAAAAUGAAGACAGGCCCAUCUCUACUUACCAAUGUCACUGUCUCACCAGUGCCUCUCGCUGUCCUCACCAGUGCUUCCUGUCUCACCAAUGCCUCUCUCUCACCAGUGCGUCUCUCACCAAUGCCUCUCUCUCUCUCACCAAUGCCUCUCUCUCACCAAUGCCUCUCUCUCACCAAAGCCUCUCUCUCACCCAAUGCCUCUCUCUCACCAAUAGCCUCUCUCUUCACCAAUGCCUUCUCUCUCACCAAAGCCUCUCUCUCUCACCAAUGCCUCUCUCUCACCAAAGCCUCUCUCUCUCACCAAUGCCUCUCUCUCACCAAUGCCUCUCUCUCUCACCAAUGCCUCUCUCUCUCACCAAUGCCUCUCUCUCACCAGUGCCUCUCUCUCACCAGUGCCUCUCUCUCACCAGUGCCUCUCUCUCACCAGUGCCUCUCUCUCUCUCACCAAUGCUCUCUCUCUCACCAAUGCCUCUCUCUCACCAAAGCCUCUCUCUCACCAAUGCCUCUCUCUCUCUCACCAGUGCCUCUCUCUCACCAGUGCCUCUCUGUCUCUCACCAAUGCCUCUCUCUCUCUUCACCAUGCCUCUCACCUGGCCUCUCUUCUCUCACCAAUGCCUCUCUCUCACCAAUGCCUCUCUCUCUCUCAUUAAAUCCUCUCCUCAUCUCUUCACCAAUGCCUCUCUCUUCUCACCAAAGCCUCCUCCACCAGUGCCUCUCUCUCUCACCAAUGCCUCUCUCUCACCAAAGCCUCUCUCUCACCAAUGCCUCUCUCUCUCUCACACCAUCUCCUCUCUCUCACCAAUGCCUCUCUCUCACCAAAGCCUCUCUCUCACCAGUGCCUCUCUCAUCUCACCAAUGCCUCUCUCUCACCUAUGCCUCUCUCUCACCAAUGCCUCUCUCUCUUCACCAAUGCCUCUCUUUCUCACCAAUGCCUCUCUCUCUCACCAAUGCCUCUCUCUCAUCAAAGCCUCCCUCUCACCAAUGCCUCUCUCUCUCUCACCAGUGCCUCUCUCUCACCAGUGCCUCUCUCACCAGUGCCUCUCUCUCUCACCAAUGCCUCUCUCUCAUCAAAGCCUCCCUCUCACCAAUGCCUCUCUCUCUCUCACCAGUGCCUCUCUCUCACCAGUGCCUCUCUCUCUUUCCACCAAAGCCUCUCUCUCAUCAAUGCGCUCUCUCUCACCAAUGCCUCUCUCUCUCAACCAAUGCUGCCUCUCUCCCCUCUCAAACCAAAGCCUCUCUCUCACCAAUGCUUCUCUCUCUCUCACCAGUGCCUCUCUCACCAGUGCCUCUCUCACCAAUGCCUCUCUCUCUCACCAAUGCCUCUCUCUCACCAGUGCUCUCUCUCUCCACCCAAUGCCUCUCCUCUCACCAAUGCCCU